UGCCUAGCGGCUGAACCAGCAACUUGGAGGAAUGAAUAGCGAAAGCUUAUUAUAUUAAAUAUUUGAUAUGAUAUAAACUAUGUUAUAUAAAGUUCUAGAUAUAAUUAUGAUAAUGACAUUAUAUAUCUAUAAGUCUUGACUAAGUCACGUGCCAGCAGUCGCGGCAAUACGUGGAAGACAAGUGUUAUUCAUCUUUAAUAGGUUUAUAGGGUACGUAGACAGUGAAUUAAGCCGUAGAAGGUACUAAUUAUACUAGAGUUUGAUGUAAGAAGUGAUUGAAGUACGAUGAGUGUAGCGAUAGAAUGCUGUGAUACCAUUUAGAUACUGAUAGAGGCGAAAGCGACCUUUUAUGUAAAAACUGACGUUAAGGGACGAAGGCUCGAUUAAAGAAUAGGAUUAGAUACCCUAGUAUUGUGAGCAGAGAAUGAUGAAUGUCAUAUGUAAGAUGAAAGUAUUAUAAUUAAAGAUAAAUUAAUAUUUUUAAUUAUUUGCCCUGUUAAUGCUUUAAUGUUUUAAUGUUUUAAUGUUUUAAUGUUUUAAUGUUUUAAUGUUUUAAAGCAUUUAGUAGGUAUAUUAUAUUUAUAUGGGCACUAUAUAUCUUAUGUAUAAAUGAAAGUGUAAACAUUCCACCUUGAGAGUAAUAUGGCAACAUAGAAACUGAAAUCAUUAGACCGUUUCUGAAACCAGUAGUGAAGUAUGUUGUUUAAUUAGAUGUCACACAAAAAACCUUACCACAAUUUGUAUAUUUAUAAAUAUAAAUACAGGCGUUGCACGGUUGUCUUCAGUUGAUGUCGUGAGAUGUUGGUUAGCUCCAUAAAAUUAACGUAAACCCUUACUUUAUUUUUAUAUAUAAAGUAGUUCGCCGCUAUAUUGGUUGUGAUAUAAGGGACCAAGACAAGUCAUCA
rnacentral:rRNA from 1 species